UACGGAGGAUGCAAGCGUUAUCCGGAAUGAUUGGGCGUAAAGCGUCCGCAGGUGGCUAUGUAAGUCUGCUGUUAAAGAGUCUGGCUCAACCAGAUAAAGGCAGUGGAAACUACAUGGCUAGAGUGCGUUCGGGGCAGAGGGAAUUCCUGGUGUAGCGGUGAAAUGCGUAGAGAUCAGGAAGAACACCGGUGGCGAAGGCGCUCUGCUAGGCCGUAACUGACACUGAGGGACGAAAGCUAGGGGAGCGAAUGGG
rnacentral:rRNA from 1 species